GUCCCACCCCUCGCCCCGCUCUGGGGCGCCCAGACCCCGCGCUCCCGCGCCUGUCUGGCUCACCCAGGCUGUAGAGGCUGAGCGCGCCGUAGUCCAGGAAGUAGCAGAUGUGGCGCGCGCGGGGCGACAUGGAGCUGAAGGUGUGCGCGCAGCACGACGCGAAGGGGUAGAGGCAGGCGGGCAGCAGGAAGACCAGCAGCGGCCAGUGGUAUGGCUCCGCACGGAAGCCGGGGCCGCCCGCCAGCGCCAGGAGCCGCCACAGGAAGUACCUGCGGCGGGCGCGUGCUCAGGCCGCCGCGGACCCCAGCGACUGCCGCUGCAGCCCGUGGGCCUGGACGGUCCCUGCCCGCCUGGGUACCCCCUCUGAGCUCAAGGCCGCGGCCUGGGGCAGAGCCUCCCCUCACCAGGUGGGCAGGAAGUGAGUCCAGAUGUUGACCGUCUCGUUGGUCAUCUGGAAGGAGCUGAGGACACAGUCCAAAGCCGAGCUGGUGGGGCGGCGGUAGCCAGACAUGAUGCCAUCUUCCCAGAACACCUAGGGUAGUGGUGGGAGAGGAAGGCCGUCACUGUGCCUGGACCAUUUCCCUCCAUUUGAGAUCUCUGGAAGCAGGGUCAAAGAGGCUGGGCUGGAGAUCAACGUGGCCCCCAAGCCAAACUAAAUCUGAUCUGAUCUUACCACAGGUCCCAGUACCCACAAACCCACAAAACAGAUAGGAAACCCAAGAGCCAGACUGGGGUGGGAUGGGGGUGGAGCGCAGCACACAGGGCGCUCUGGGGAAGGGGACUCCAGAUGGAGGGCCACAAGCUUGUUCCUCAGAGAACAGAGGAAGAGUCUCACACUGGAAUGGGAGGGUAAGAGUUCGCCUGCAGGAGGGGCUGCCCCAAUAGCUAAAGAGAAGAACGUCAGCCCCUAGUCAGUCCUCUAGGGAAUGGGGGUUGGUGGGUCAGUGGGUGGAGCCCCUCACCCGGGGGACCUGGUGGACUUGAAGAAGUUGGGGCAGCUUGAGACUGAGCAUGGUGGCCUGGUACCUCCACGUUGACCUAGAGACAGAGUUGGGGGUAGGGGAUCAGAUAUCUGCCCCCAUCCACAGGCCCCUUUCACCUGGGUUCAGCCCCAGGAUGGGCUGUGCAUGUGGGAGGCAGAUAGGCAUCCUCCCUCCUGGAGCUGCUUCCUUCAGGCCUGGGGAGGCUGGUCCACCUUCCCCAGCCCUUGCACCACUUAACUCCAACCCCUGUUCUCCUUGGGGCAUUCAGUCCCCACACUGAGGGGCUUGGCAGCCUCAGCCCAGCAUAGAGUGGUGGGGUCCUCCCAGCUGGGAGGCUGCCUCAAAUAGUGAUCCAGCCCCCCAGGCCCCAGUUUUUGUCUCAGGAAGAAUCCUGACUCCUGGAGGCCAGCACAGACACAGCCCGAGUACCACUCCCUUUCCCACCAGAAUGUGCUUUGCCCACAGCACCCGAACUGCGCACAGAACACUCUUGGCACUCAGAAUCUCUGGAGAAGCCAGAUGCCAUCAGGUGGAGUCUCGCUCUGUCACCCAGGCUGGAGUGCAAUGGCGCUAUCUCGGCUCACUGCAAGCUCCGCCUCCCGGGUUUACGCCAUUCUCCUGCCUCAGCCUCCCGAGUAGCUGUGACUACAGGCACCCGCCACCGUGCCCAGCUAAUUUUUUUCUGUAUUUUUAGUAGAGACGGGGUUUCACUAUGUUAGCCAGGAUGGUCUUGAUCUCCUGACCUUGUGAUCUGCCCGCCUUGGCCACCCAAAGUGCUGGGAUUACAGGCGUGAGCCACCGCGCCCGGCCAGAGGCUGGUUUCAAGGCUCACCUCCCCACCCCCUGGAGGAAGAGGACCCAGCUGGUGACAGCGAACCAACCACAGGCAGCGAUGUUGCUGGAAAGAGAUUUUCACUAUCACCCCUGCAAAGGCACCGCAUCAGUUUACAGGGUCAAGGAACUUGACAGUGCCUAUCAAAUCAUCUCCAGGGCUUUCACUCAAAUUGCCUGCUUCUUGUUCUGUUCCAUCCACUUCAAAGAAACCUUUCCAAAAUGCAUUUCAGGAUGCCAUCUUCAAUGUCCUACCCCCCAAUAAAACUUCUGUACAGACAGGCA